rnacentral:rRNA from 1 species
AUCCGGUUGAUCCUGCCGGACCUGACUGCUAUCGGAUUGAUACUAAGCCAUGCUAGUCUUUGUAGUAAUACAAGGCAUACGGCUCAGUAACGCGUAGUCAACCUACCCUAUGGACGGGGAUAAUCUCGGGAAACUGAGCAUAAUACCCGGCAGACCACUUAUCCUGGAAUGGUUAGUGGUUAAAAUGAUUCGUCGCCAUAGGAUGGGACUGCGGCCUAUCAGCUUGUUGGUGAGGUAAUGGCCCACCAAGGCGAUUACAGGUACGGGCUCUGAGAGGAGAAGCCCGGAGAUGGGUACUGAGA